AGAAAGUGGUGGUCCUGCCUGCUUUUCAAAGAAAUGGGCAUGUUGGAGGACUGGCCACGGCGGAAGAGUUAAGUUCUGUCCGGACACAUCAGGCACAGACAGUCUGCGUUCACUGUCAGGUGAGCGCUCUGCGUACAGUCAGUUCUUCACCAUAACAGCAAAGUCACCUGUUUAUAACCUUAAGUGACCAAGACCAUCCAGUUUCUGCAGGUUACAGAUAUGUAAAAUCAUCAGAGAAAGGUGAGAUAAACAAGUGUCUGCAUCUGGCGGGAGUUGAGAGCUUGAGGGUCAGAGUGCCAAAUGCCUUUUUGUAUGGCUUAUCUUUGCCCAUCUAAUGCUGUGAAGCCUUCAUAAUACCAAUACCAAUAUGCACAAUAGAGGAACUGUUUGGAAAGUGCUGUGGCUUUCGCCAUGUGAUGCUCCUGUUCUGUGCUGAUGAACUGGGUCAGACUGAAGACAUCCACACAAGAGUAACACAG